GAUGAACGCUAGCGGCAGGCUUAACACAUGCAAGUCGAGGGGCAGCGGGUUGUAGCAAUACAAUGUCGGCGACCGGCGCACGGGUGAGUAACGCGUAUCCCAACCUUCCCCUUAGUAGGGCAUAGCCCGGCGAAAGUCGGAUUAAUACCCUAUGUUUUCCGAUGAGGACAUCUGAGCUGGAACAAAGAUUUAUCGCUAAGGGAUGGGGAUGCGUCUGAUUAGGUUGUUGGCGGGGUAACGGCCCACCAAGCCUACGAUCAGUAGGGGUUCUGAGAGGAAGGUCCCCCACAUUGGUACUGAGACACGGACCAAACUCC
rnacentral:rRNA from 1 species